rnacentral:rRNA from 1 species
GAUGAACGCUGGCGGCGUGUCUAAUACAUGCAAGUCGAGCGAACGGACGAGAAGCUUGCUUCUCUGAUGUUAGCGGCGGACGGGUGAGUAACACGUGGAUAACCUACCUAUAAGACUGGGAUAACUUCGGGAAACCGGAGCUAAUACCGGAUAAUAUUUUGAACCGCAUGGUUCAAAAGUGAAAGACGGUCUUGCUGUCACUUAUAGAUGGAUCCGCGCUGCAUUAGCUAGUUGGUAAGGUAACGGCUUACCAAGGCAACGAUGCAUAGCCGACCUGAGAGGGUGAUCGGCCACACUGGAACUGAGACACGGUCCAGACUCCUACGGGAGGCAGCAGUAGGGAAUCUUCCGCAAUGGGCGAAAGCCUGACGGAGCAACGCCGCGUGAGUGAUGAAGGUCUUCGGAUCGUAAAACUCUGUUAUUAGGGAAGAACAUAUGUGUAAGUAACUGUGCACAUCUUGACGGUACCUAAUCAGAAAGCCACGGCUAACUACGUGCCAGCAGCCGCGGUAAUACGUAGGUGGCAAGCGUUAUCCGGAAUUAUUGGGCGUAAAGCGCGCGUAGGCGGUUUUUUAAGUCUGAUGUGAAAGCCCACGGCUCAACCGUGGAGGGUCAUUGGAAACUGGAAAACUUGAGUGCAGAAGAGGAAAGUGGAAUUCCAUGUGUAGCGGUGAAAUGCGCAGAGAUAUGGAGGAACACCAGUGGCGAAGGCGACUUUCUGGUCUGUAACUGACGCUGAUGUGCGAAAGCGUGGGGAUCAAACAGGAUUAGAUACCCUGGUAGUCCACGCCGUAAACGAUGAGUGCUAAGUGUUAGGGGGUUUCCGCCCCUUAGUGCUGCAGCUAACGCAUUAAGCACUCCGCCUGGGGAGUACGACCGCAAGGUUGAAACUCAAAGGAAUUGACGGGGACCCGCACAAGCGGUGGAGCAUGUGGUUUAAUUCGAAGCAACGCGAAGAACCUUACCAAAUCUUGACAUCCUUUGACAACUCUAGAGAUAGAGCUUUCCCCUUCGGGGGACAAAGUGACAGGUGGUGCAUGGUUGUCGUCAGCUCGUGUCGUGAGAUGUUGGGUUAAGUCCCGCAACGAGCGCAACCCUUAAGCUUAGUUGCCAUCAUUAAGUUGGGCACUCUAAGUUGACUGCCGGUGACAAACCGGAGGAAGGUGGGGAUGACGUCAAAUCAUCAUGCCCCUUAUGAUUUGGGCUACACACGUGCUACAAUGGACAAUACAAAGGGCAGCGAAACCGCGAGGUCAAGCAAAUCCCAUAAAGUUGUUCUCAGUUCGGAUUGUAGUCUGCAACUCGACUACAUGAAGCUGGAAUCGCUAGUAAUCGUAGAUCAGCAUGCUACGGUGAAUACGUUCCCGGGUCU